GACGAACGCUGGCGGCGUGCUUAACACAUGCAAGUCGAACGGAAAGGCCCUGCUUUUGUGGGGUGCUCGAGUGGCGAACGGGUGAGUAACACGUGAGUAACCUGCCCUUGACUUUGGGAUAACUUCAGGAAACUGGGGCUAAUACCGGAUAGGAGCUCCUGCUGCAUGGUGGGGGUUGGAAAGUUUCGGCUGUUGGGGAUGGACUCGCGGCUUAUCAGCUUGUUGGUGGGGUAGUGGCUUACCAAGGCUUUGACGGGUAGCCGGCCUGAGAGGGUGACCGGCGACAUGGGGACUGCGAUACGGCCCAGAAUCCUACGGGAGGCAGUAGUGGGGAAUAUUGCACAACGGGCGGAAGCCUGAUGCAGCAACGCCGCGUGCGGGAUGACGGCCUUCGGGUUGUAAACCGAUUUCGCCUGUGACGAAGCGUGAGUGACGGUAAUGGGUAAAGAAGCACCGGCUAACUACGUG
rnacentral:rRNA from 1 species